AUGAGUUGAGUUGGAAUCGUUCCAACCCAUUGAAAGGAGUUUUCAAUGAUACUGAGAUGGAGAUCUCAAUAUGUCUCAUUACCAGUCAGAUUAGAAUCUAUGAGGUCACACACAUUAGAGGUUCUGAUUAUUAGGAUUGUCGAUUUGUGAUUUGGAAUCACAAUGUCAAUUGUCAAUAAGAUUGAUGUACAAAAUAACCC
rnacentral:lncRNA from 1 species